rnacentral:rRNA from 1 species
AGUGGCGGACGAGCGAGUAACACGUAAGUAGUUGCCCUGUACUCGGGGAGAACUGGUCGAAAGAUCAGCUAAUACCGGAUGGUCUCGAAAGAGUAAAGAUUUAUCGGUACAGGAGACGCUUGCGGCCUAUCAGCUUGUUGGUGAGGUAACGGCUCACCAAGGCUAUGACGGGUAUCUGGUGUGAGAGCACGACCAGACGCGAUGGGACUGAGACACGGCCCAUACUCCUACGGGAGGCAGCAGGAAAGAAUCUUCCGCAAUGGGGGCAACCCUGACGGAGCGACACCGCGUGGUGGAUGACACCCUUCGGGGCGUAAACACCUUUUAUGAGGGAAGAAGAUCUGACGGUACCUCAUGAAUAAGGACCGGCUAAUUACGUGCCAGCAGCCGCGGUAAUACGUAAGGUCCAAGCGUUAACCGGAAUAAUUGGGCGUAAAGCGUCCGCAGGUGGUGCAGCAAGUGGAUUAUGAAAUACCGGAGCUCAACUUCGGUGCUGUAGUCCAAACUGUUGUACUAGAGGAGUGGAGAGGUGCGUGGAAUUGUGCAAGUAGGGGUAAAAUCCGUAGAUAUGCACAGGAACACCAAAAGCGAAGGCAGCGCAACUGGCCAUUUCCUGACACUCAUGGACGAAAGCGUGGGGAGCGAAAGGGAUUAGAUACCCCUGUAGUCCACGCCGUAAACGAUGCGUGCUCGGUGUAGGGACCCUAGACCUGGUCUCUGUGCCUAAGGUAACCCGAUAAGCACGCCGCCUGUGUAGUACGGCCGCAAGGCUAAAACACAAAGGAAUAGACGGGGACCCACACAAGCGGUGGAUUGCGGGGUUUAAUUCGAUAAUAAGCGAGUAACCUUACCCAGACUUGACAUCCUAAUCGUACUCGAUGGAAACAUUGAGGUCAGCUCGGCUGGAUUAGUGACAGGCGCUGCAUGGUUGUCGUCAGCUCGUGCCUUGAGGUGUACGGUUAAGUCCGCGAACGAGCGCAACCCUUAUCGUGUGUUGUAUUUUCACACGAGACUGCCGCGUCAUAAACCGGAGGAAGGUGAGGAUGACGUCAAAUCAGCAUGGCCCUUAUGUCUGGGGCCACACCCACAAUACAAUGGUCAGCACAAACCGAAGCAAUACAGCAAUGUGGAGCGAAUCGGAGAAAUCUGACCUCAGUUCGGAUCGGAGUCUGCAACUCGACUCCGUGAAGCCGGAAUCGCUAGUACACGUGCCUCAGUCAUGGCACGUUGAAUAUGUUCCUGGGUCUUGUACUCACCGCCCGUCAAGGCAUGGAAGCUGGGGGC